rnacentral:rRNA from 1 species
AGAGUUUGAUCAUGGCUCAGAUUGAACGCUGGCGGCAUGGCUAAAACAUGCAAGUCGAACGUGCUCGCAAGAGCAAGUGGCGAAAGGGUCAGUAAUGCGAUCGAACGUACCCUGAGGUGGAGGAUAGGGCGGGGAAACUCGCCAUAAUACUCCAUGAUGUCCUCGGACCAAAGGUUUACCGCCUUGGGAGCGGCGAUCGUCCUAUCAGGUAGUUGGUGAGGUAACGGCUCACCAAGCCGAAGACGGGUAGCAGGUGUGAGAGCACGACCUGCGACAUCGGGACUGAGACACUGCCCGGACUUCUACGGAAGGCUGCAGUAACGAAUCUUCCGCAAUGGGCGAAAGCCUGACGGAGCAAUGCCGCGUGUGGGAUGAAGCGGCUACGCCGUGUAAACCACUGUCAGGGGACAGAAACAAUGAUCGUCCCCAAAGGAAGAGCCGGCUAACCCUGUGCCAGCAGCCGCGGUAAUACAGGGGGCUCGAGCGUUAGUCGGAAUCACUGGGCUUAAAGGGUGCGUAGGCGGCUCGCCAAGUGCUUUGUGAAAUCCCCGAGCUCAACUCGGGAACAGCAGGGCAAACUGGCGGGCUUGAAGCAGGUAGGGGCUGGAAGAACAGUAGGUGGAGCGGUGAAAUGCGUAGAUAUCUACUGGAAUGCCGAUGGGGAAGCCGUCCAGCUGGGCCUGUCUUGACGCUGAGGCACGAAAGCGUGGGGAGCAAACAGGAUUAGAUACCCUAGUAGUCC